rnacentral:SRP_RNA from 1 species
CUUGGAAGUCGGUGGGCGCCACUGUCGCUAACCUGGUCAGGCCGGGAACGGAGCAGCCAUACCGAAUUUGUGGCGGGUCGCCGGCUUCCACCGGU